CGGAGGGUGCAAGCGUUAUCCGGAUUCACUGGGUUUAAAGGGUGUGUAGGCGGGUAUUUAAGUCAGUGGUGAAAUCUCCGAGCUCAACUCGGAAACUGCCAUUGAUACUAUUUAUCUUGAAUAUUGUUGAGGUAGGCGGAAUAUGUCAUGUAGCGGUGAAAUGCUUAGAUAUGACAUAGAACACCGAUUGCGAAGGCAGCUUGCUAAACAAUUAUUGACGCUGAGGCACGAAAGCGUGGGGAUCAAACAGGAUUAGAUACCCUGGUAGUCCACGCCCUAAACGAUGAUUACUGGACAUUUGCGAUAUACAGUGAGUGUCUGAGCGAAAGCAUUAAGUAAUCCACCUGGGAAGUACGUCCGCAAGGAUG
rnacentral:rRNA from 1 species